GAUUCAGGGUGAUCUGUGCUAUGGCAGAGGUUGGUGCUGGAGCAGCUUUUGCAGUGGAACUUGUAGGACAAGUACGUGUUUAAAAAUCAAGAGAAAAGGAAGGCUAAGGGAUGAGCAAGUGCGAAGCUUGGGGAGGAAGCCAGCGCCGCAGAUGUUCUUGCACUGAGGUCUGUGGGGUGACAGAAGUCUCUGCUUUCCCUGCUUCUGCUGUUCCAGAGGCUUAGGGCCUGGCCUGUCUAUGGCCCUGCCUGGCACCGCGCCAGGGCCGCCACAGGCAGCCGAGAGCAUGGACCACUCUCAGCCCUGGCUGGAGCUGAGGAGGAAGCCUCAGACACCAGGCAUCUGUGGUGGCGUGGGCUCUAAGGAUGGCUCCAUGGUUCAUGGGGACGACAGUCAGCCAGACACUGCCCCCACCACAGCCUGGGGGGAGGGGGUCCCUGCCACAGGGCCCAUCGCUGCCACAUCAGGACGGCCUGCCAUCCCACCAGUCUCCAGAUGUGGGAACUGAAGCCAGAUGAGAGAGCCUUACCCCAGGCAGGCAGGAAGACUGCAAUCCUGUAACAGGAUCCAGUCCCCAGCCUCUGGCCUGGAGAACCGCCAAGGUCAAAGCGCCUGCCUUACGUUGACCUCUGUGACCUUGAUACUUGUACCUGAGUUCCUGCUCUGCGCUCCAGUCACCACUUGUCCUCGGGCCCAGGUGGUCCUGGGUUCUAGAAGAAAGCAGGGUGAGCAAGCCACAAGGAGCAAGCCAGUAAGCAGCACCCCUCCAUGGCCCCUGCAUCAGCUUUUGCCUGCAAGCUCUUGCCCUGUUUGAGUUCCUGUCCUGAUUUCCUUAAGUGAUGAGCAAUGAUGUAUCUGAAUAUAGAACUCUCAGCUCCUUCUCCAGAACCAUGUCUGCCUGCGUGCCACCAUGCUUCCCCUGAUGAUGACAAUGGCCUGAACCUUGAAAACUGUGCUGGGAAUAAAGGUGCGCUCCACCACCACCCAGCUGAGUAUAAGGACAUCCAUUGAUUACGUUCUUCGAAGCAGGGAGACACGCACUGUAAGUCCUGCCCUCUCCUGGCUGGGAUCCUGGGCUGUAUAAACAGAGAAAUGGAACUAAGCAGCUGCGAACAUUUACCACUCAGUUCCUUGACCAAAGAACUUAUGUGACUUGUUGCUUCAAAGUCCUUCUGUCUUGAGGGGGGCGUGGCGGUGCACCGCUUUAGUCCCAGCCUAUGGGAGGCAGAGGCAGGUGGGUCUCUUGAGUUGGAAGCCAGCCUGGUCUACAGAGUGAGUUUCAGGACAGCCUGGAUACACGGAGAGACCCUGUCUCAGAAAAGAAAAACUCCUCCUGCUGGAGCCCCCCGCCACGCUGAGCUGUGGCUCAGAACGAGCCCUCUCUCCGUCAGCCUGCUCUUGCCAGCUGUUUCAUCGCAGCGACAGAAAAGCCAGUGAUACAGUGUGCUCUUUAUCUGAUUUUUAAAACUGCAGCUUAACUUGUUUUUUUAAGAGACGACAAGAAGCGCCGUUUUUUUUUCUUAGAAGAAGCAAGGCCUCUGAUCUCUCGAAGCACCAGUUCAUGACUACAGGAGACAUUUUAGCAAAAGAGAAGCAAAAGUGUUUUGGUUUUUUGUUUGUUUUUUCACAAAAUCAAUGUCUGCAGAUGCUUUCUUUGUGCUUCACAUUAUCUAAUUGAGACCUAGAACAUGUGUUAUUAAAGGGACUGCAGAGACGGCUCCUACAUACAGCUAUGCACUGCCACCUUCGCGGAGCACCCUUGUUCGCUUUCCAGCAUCCAUGGAGAGCAGCUCACAAUGACCUGUAACUCCUGCCCGAAAGACUCCAUGCACAUUGGCACUCAUGUGCACAUACAUGUAUACGUACACUCAGACAUAGUACAAGUACACAUACAUACAUGGA